CCUUCCUCUUUUUCUUUCAGCCUCUUCCAUCUCAGUCUCUGGCCUUGGAACAGACACCUGCUUUCCUCCAGUGCCAACUUCAAAUACUGAGGUGGCAGCGGCAGAGCUGGGCCUCUCACUGAUGAUGCCCAACAAGAUCCAGAAGAAAAAAGACAAUCUUUUCCUGUACUUUCUUCCGAGAGAAGGAAACAUCUUCCAAAAGCUCCUGGCAAAUUUAUCUUUGUAUCUCAUCAGCCCAAUGGAAGCCACGUGCUUUUUCCAGAACCAUCACCAGGAGAAUAUGUUUGACUUAGACUAAUCAGGGCUCAUCCUCGACUGAGGUCACUUCUCUCAAUUGCAUAGCUACUAUAAAAUUAGGAGGAACAGAGUGGAUAUUACAGAACUACCACAACUGUAGUCCUCCCCUUUAGUUGUCCAAUAUUCAUACAUAACCUCCAUGCUGUGUCACACACAACUUCAGAAAUGUCCAUGCCUAAUAAAAUGCACUCAAGCCCUUC